CUGGCUCUGCACGUGUUUUGGGAAUGUCAACAGAAGGCUGCAGAUAACAAGAUGGAAAAUGGGAAAUGUCAGAGAUGACAGAGCUGCUUUAAUAAUCCCUUCGUACAGUGGAGGAGUGGGACUCACACAGCCGAAGAGUGAAAUGCUGCUCUGCUGUCAUACAAUAAAAGAAGUCUUAAAAUUUUACGUCAUCCCAAGAUACAUGAAGGAAGUCUGCAAAUGAGAUGAGAUCACUACCCAUACCAACAUGGUUCUGUUCUUUGUCCCUUAUAUCUCAAAAUCCACUUAAAGCUGCACAGAUGAAUAUUUUUACUUGAACAAUGGAUCAAACAAGUCUGUGCAAUAUGAAAGUAGUUGCUCAAUAAAUUAUCAAUCAUCAA